GACGAACGCUGGCGGCGUGCUUAACACAUGCAAGUCGAACGGAAAGGCCCUGCUUUUGUGGGGUGCUCGAGUGGCGAACGGGUGAGUAACACGUGAGUAACCUGCCCUUGACUUUGGGAUAACUUCAGGAAACUGGGGCUAAUACCGGAUAGGAGCUCCUGCUGCAUGGGGGGGGUUGGAAAGUUUCGGCGGUUGGGGAUGGACUCGCGGCUUAUCAGCUUGUUGGUGGGGUAGUGGCUUACCAAGGCUUUGACGGGUAGCCGGCCUGAGAGGGUGACCGGCCACAUUGGGACUGAGAUACGGCCCAGACUCCUACGGGAGGCAGCAGGGGGGAAUAUUGCACAAUGGGCGGAAGCCUGAUGCAGCAACGCCGCGUGCGGGAUGACGGCCUUCGGGGUGUAAACCGCUUUCGCCUGUGACGAAGCGUGAGUGACGGUAAUGGGUAAAGAAGCACCGGCUAACUACGUG
rnacentral:rRNA from 1 species